rnacentral:tRNA from 1 species
GCCGCCGUAGCUCAGCGUGGCUGGAGCGCCGCCCUGGUAAGGCGGAGGACCCGGGUUCAAAUCCCGGCGGCGGCU